rnacentral:rRNA from 1 species
UGGGGAAUAUUGGGCAAUGGGGGCAACCCUGAUCCAGCCAUGCCGCGUGAGUGAUGAAGGCCUUCGGGUUGUAAAGCUCUUUUGGCGGGGACGAUGAUGACGGUACCCGCAGAAUAAGCCCCGGCUAACUUCGUGCCGGCAGCCGCGGUAAGACGAAGGGGGCUAGCGUUGUUCGGAAUUACUGGGCGUAAAGCGAGUGUAGGCGGUUGUCGUAGUCAGGUGUGAAAGCCUUGAGCUCAACUCAAGAAAUGCACUUGAUACUGGGUGACUAGAGGACCGGANAGGAUAGUGGAAUUCCCAGUGUAGUGGUGAAAAUACGUAGAGAUUUGGGAAGAACACCGGUGGCGAAGGCGGCUAUCUGGACGGUUACUGACGCUAAGACUCGAAAGCGUGGGGAGC